AAUUGUGAAUAUAUGCUGUAUCAGCUCCCUUGUUCCUAAUACUUGGAAAUAAUUUUUUAAAAAACUGGUAAAUUUUGAUGUAAAAAGACAGAAAUUAUCAAAGGAUCAUUAGUUGAAGGACUUGGGAAAUAUCAAAAUUAGUGUCCUAGGAAAAAUUUUAAAAAUAAGAAGUACAGAUAGGCUGGGGCAUCUCCACAUGUUUUCUCCAGUUGUAGGCAUAGGUGCACUUGAGAAGUGGCAUCUUAUUGGCUGCCACCUCUGGUCGUGUGAAGGGUGGUCUUAACCCAGAAAAGUAAGUAGUUGUGUAUCACAUAGAUGGAGGUUAUGGUGUAACCAGAGAUUCCGCUGUUUUGUUGCUCAUUUUUGUCCUCUGUUUGUAAUAGACAUUGUGAGUGCAGAUCUAUUCUGCCUGCUCACACUCACUGCUCAUAUUUUAUAUUGUGUCAUGGAAAAUGUCACCUAAAAUUGUGAAACUAGUUAUGGAUAUGUUCUAGGAAUGAUGUCAUCAUCUCAAUAAAGAAAUAAUAACUUGUUUUCUUAGUCUGUAUAGAUAGAAAAGACAGCUGGCUUUAAAAUAUUUAUUUGCUAUUGAAGUCUACCUAUGUCACCUGUUUCUUAUUGGGAAGGUAGAAUAUAUUUUUUUCCUUUGCCUUAAACUUUUUUAGAUCAUCUUUUAAUGGUCACAUUUGGCUUACAGUUUUUAACAAAGGACUGAAAAGCAGAAACCAAGAUAGUUUUAUUUUUGUGAUAUAGACUUUUAGUAGUAUUGAGGGACCAUGUCAGCAAGUCUAAAACAUCACUUAAACCUUCAGGUAUGGCUGGCAUUUCUACAGAUGCACAACAUCUGAGACCCUCAGAAAGGAAGGAUAAUCUAACGGUAUAGGAAAUCUGUCUUCUCUUCCUUUCAUUUCGUGCCUUUUCUUAUGUUUGCAAAGAACAACUCUCAGUAACUAAUCUUGUGUGAAGCAUCUCUUAUUUAUAUUUUCUUUCUGAGGUAUUAAACUAUCUAGACUGAAUUUUGCUAAAUGUUAAAGGGAAGACAGUUCCUGAAGACUUUCAACACUUGCUUUUGUGAUUGACUAUACUUACGUGUCGUUAGUGCCUCCUAUGUUUGACGUCCUUUACUGGUGGUAUCAAGUGACCCUGUGCCUUCAUUCUCUUGCCCAUUUCGGUACACAUGUAAACCUGUGUUAGAAAAUCUCUGAACUGUGUGGUUUUGGAAGAGUAUACCUGAAUUCUUUUCAAUAAGAGUUUCUGGACAUGAGGGGAAAAAAUACAAUCACAUAUUUAUAAAAUAGUUGCUACCAGGAUUCUUUUUUUAAAAAAAAUGUGCGUUUCUUCAUCUGAGAAAUAUUCUUGGUCACAAGAUCAAAAAGUUUAAACAUCAUUUCAGUUUCUUCAUUGAGGAGAAAAUAAGAAUUUCAAUAACCAAUAAUCAAAGAAUAUGUUAUAAGUCACUGGACAAGCUUACAAGAAGAUACAUUCAAGGGCUGGUAUUUGUAUGAACAAUAAAUCUAGAAUAAACUGUUACAAACUACAAAUUAAAAUGGGUUUGGAGACAGCAGCAGUCUGUGGAGAGGAGCACUAUGACUAUACACAUAUUUGACGGGUUUAUAUAAGAAUUUGUGAUUACAAAUUUAAACA
rnacentral:lncRNA from 1 species